GAUGAACGCUGGCGGCGUGCCUAAUACAUGCAAGUCGAGCGGACGGACGAGGAGCUUGCUUCUCGGAUGUUUGCGGCGGACGGGUGUGUAACACGUGGAUAACCUACCUAUAAGACGGGGAUAACUUCGGGAAACCGUAGCUAAUACGGUAUAAUAUUUUGAACCACAGGGGUCGAAGGUGAAAGACGGUCGUUCGGUCACUUAUAGAGGGAUCCGGGCUUCAUUGGCUAGUUGGUAAGGUAACGGCUUACCAAGGCAACUAUGCAUAGCCGACGUGAGAGGGUGAUCGGCCACACGGGAACUGAGACACGGUCCAGACUACUGCGGGAGGCAGCAGUAGGGAAUCUUCCGCAAUGGGCGAAAGCCUGACGGAGCAACGCCGCGUGAGUGAUGAAGGUCUUCCGAUCGUAAAACUCUGUUAUUAGGGAAGAACAUAUGUGUAAGUAACUGUGCACAUCUUGACGGUACCUAAUCAGAAAGCCACGGCUAACUACGUG
rnacentral:rRNA from 1 species